rnacentral:rRNA from 1 species
AUUGAACGCUGGCGGCAGGCCUAACACAUGCAAGUCGAGCGAGCGGCGGACGGGUGCGUAAUGUCUGGUAAACUGCCUGUUGGAGGGGGAUAACUACUGGAAACGGUAGCGAAUACGGCAUACCAUCAGCUGUGCCCAGAUGGGGUUAGCUAGUCGGGGGGGUAACGGCUCACCUAGGCGACGAUCCCUAGCUGGCCUGAGAGGAUGACCAGCCACACUGGGACUGAGACACGGCCCAGACUCCUACGGGAGGCAGCAGUGGGGAAUAUUGCACAAUGGGCGAAAGCCUGAUGCAGCCAUGCCGCGUGAGUGAAGAAGGCCUUCGGAUUGUAAAGCACUGUCGGCAGGGAAGCGGUACCCGAAGAAGAAGCAACGGCUAACUACGUGCCAGCAGCCGCGGUAAUUC